rnacentral:rRNA from 1 species
GACGAACGCUGGCGGCGUGCCUAACACAUGCAAGUCGAACGAGAAUCUUUGAACAGAACUUUUCGGAGUGACGUUCAAAGAGGAAAGUGGCGGACGGGCGAGUAACGCGUGAGUAACCUGCCCAUAAGAGGGGGAUAAUCCAUGGAAACGUGGGCUAAUACCGCAUAUUGUAGUUAAGUUGCAUGACUUGAUUAUGAAAGAUUUAUCGCUUAUGGAUGGACUCGCGUCAGAUUAGAUAGUUGGUGAGGUAACGGCUCACCAAGUCAACGAUCUGUAGCCGAACUGAGAGGUUGAUCGGCCGCAUUGGGACUGAGACACGGCCCAGACUCCUACGGGAGGCAGCAGUGGGGAAUAUUGCGCAAUGGGGGCAACCCUGACGCAGCAACGCCGCGUGCAGGAAGAAGGUCUUCGGAUUGUAAACUGUUGUCGCAAGGGAAGAAGACAGUGACG